rfam:Mycobacterium xenopi RIVM700367 contig60, whole genome shotgun sequence.
GCGCCGUUAGCUCAGUUGGUAGAGCAGCUGACUCUUAAUCAGCGGGUCGGGAGUUCGAGACUCUCACGGCGCA